GCCGGGUGUGGUGGCGCACGCCUGUUAGUUCUAGCGGCUCAGGAGGCUGAGACAGGAGGAUCGCAAGUUUAAAGCCAGCCUUAGCAACUUAGUGAGGCUCUAAGCAACUCAGCGAGAUCCUGUUUCUA
rnacentral:sRNA from 1 species